AGAAUCAACGCUGGCGGCGUGCCUCAGACAUGCAAGUCGAACGCGAAAGUUCCCUUCGGGGAACGAGUAGAGUGGCGCACGGGUGAGUAACACGUAGGUAAUCUACCUUUGGAUGGGGGAAUAACAACCGGAAACGGUUGCUAAUACCGCAUGAUGCAGCGGCACCUAAUGGUGACAGUUGUUAAAGCGGGGGAUCGAAAGACCUCGCGUCUGAAGAGGAGCCUGCGGCGGAUUAGCUAGUUGGUAAGGUAAUGGCUUACCAAGGCUACGAUCC
rnacentral:rRNA from 1 species